UACAGAGGGGGCAAGCGUUGUUCGGAAUUACUGGGCGUAAAGGGCGCGUAGGCGGCCUGUUAAGUCGAACGUGAAAUCCCCGGGCUCAACCCGGGAACUGCGUCCGAUACUGGCAGGCUUGAAUCCGGGAGAGGGGUGCAGAAUUCCAGGUGUAGCGGUGAAAUGCGUAGAUAUCUGGAGGAAUACCGGUGGCGAAGGCGGCAUCCUGGACCGGCAUUGACGCUGAGGAGCGAAAGCUAGGGGAGCAAACGGG
rnacentral:rRNA from 1 species